AUGUUUGGUAAAUGUCAAGGGAAAUUGAAAUAUAAAGUAUAUAAAUUGUAAAUUUUCAUAUAUUUCAGGUUUUUUUUUGUGAGAUUUUUUCAUGGUGUGGGAAUAAGACUUGGAGGUCUAAUACAGCUAGUAUAUAGAUUAGCAUCAGCUUGUCUGUAAGGAUUGAGGCUGAGAAUGGCCAUUGGAGCUGACUAAUAUGGUGACUUCAACUGUGGCUGCAGGAAAUUAUUGUGCAAUACAACUGAAACCAAAAAGAAUGUAAUUCAGACUAUUUUUGUGUAUGUUUUGAAAAAUGUUCAUAUUUUUUUACCAAAAAAAAAAUUUAAAAAUUGUAAAGAUUCUCCAUUUUCAACAAAGCUGGAAGUUGUUGGCUAAAUUGAUACUUCACAAUUUUCCGAUUUUACUUUUA